rnacentral:lncRNA from 1 species
GCUCCGGCUCUCCCAUGCUUGCCCCUCGGGGUGCUCCUUCUGCGCUCUCCGCCUGGACUGCAGGAAAAGGCUGCUUAAACAGCCUGCCUUUUCCUGCUGCCUGACUCGCGCCAUCUGCGGCCACCUGUCUCGUUUCUUCCCCCUGGCUGGCGCACCCUUCCUUCCUAAACAUCCCAAACUUUCUCCCACCCAGGCUGUCCAGGCUGCAGUUUCUACGCCCUGCGCUGGGGCCUGUGCAUCACGCCUAAUCCAAAGCUGGUCCUUUUACCUCCCAAAAAGAGCCAGGAGGGACUCUUCUUUGGCUUGCCACUGUGAAACCUGGUGAUGUUGAUGGAGGUCAUGUUCCUGAAGGUAUGAGGGCCCUCCCGAGACUGAGCCACCAGGCGUUUCUCACUCUCAAGCUAGUCCAUGCCCAGACUCCAGUAAUUUGUCAAAAUUACCAUUUAAGUGUUCCUAUCAGUUUAUAGCCCUAGCAGCUUCUUCAGGUAAGCAGAUUUCAGCUGUGACUGUCUGGUUUCACCUGUCUCUUCAGAUUUCUGGAUGACAAUUUGUCCUACAACUCAAUUCUCUGAUGGGUCCAAAAAAAGUCAUUGUUUUCCCAUUUUUCCAGUUUCUCUGAUUGUAAAGACAGCUGCAACAACAUCCAAGCUCUUUACAGUCAGAGCCCAAAC